rnacentral:rRNA from 1 species
GGCUUCGACGGGUAGCCGGCCUGAGAGGGUGACCGGCCACACUGGGACUGAGGACACGGCCCAGACUCCUACGGGAGGCAGCAGUGGGGAAUAUUGGACAAUGGGCGGAAGCCUGAUCCAGCAACGCCGCGUGAGGGAUGACGGCCUUCGGGUUGUAAACCUCUUUCAGCACCGACGAAGCGCAAGUGACGGUAGGUGCAGAAGAAGGACCGGCCAACUACGUGCCAGCAGCCGCGGUAAUACGUAGGGUCCGAGCGUUGUCCGGAAUUAUUGGGCGUAAAGGGCUCGUAGGCGGUUUGUCGCGUCGGGAGUGAAAACACCGGGCUUAACUCGGUGCUUGCUUUCGAUACGGGCAGACUUGAGGUAUGCAGGGGAGAACGGAAUUCCUGGUGUAGCGGUGAAAUGCGCAGAUAUCAGGAGGAACACCGGUGGCGAAGGCGGUUCUCUGGGCAUUACCUGACGCUGAGGAGCGAAAGUGUGGGGAGCGAACAGGAUUAGAUACCCUGGUAGUCCACACCGUAAACGUUGGGCGCUAGGUGUGGGAUCCAUUCCACGGGUUCCGUGCCGUAGCUAACGCAUUAAGCGCCCCGCCUG